CCCCUCUCAGGAUCACAGCUGGAGAGUUUCCAGUACUCUACCAGUCUCGAUUACAAGAGGGAGAGUCAGGCAGAGGCAUAUCCAUUCCAUUCCUAGCUUGGGCAGUGGCGAGCGAGUGGCAGGCAAUCUGCUACAAGU